UACGUAGGGUGCAAGCGUUUGUCCGGAAUUAUUGGGCGUAAAGAGCUCGUAGGCGGUCUGUCGCGUCUGCUGUGAAAAUCAGGGCUCAACCCUGGACCUGCAGUGGGUACGGGCAGACUAGAGUGCGGUAGGGGAGAUCGGAAUUCCUGGUGUAGCGGUGAAAUGCGCAGAAUAUCAGGAGGAACACCGGUGGCGAAGGCGGAUCUCUGGGCCGUAACUGACGCUGAGGAGCGAAAGCAUGGGGAGCGAACAGGAAUU
rnacentral:rRNA from 1 species